rnacentral:tRNA from 1 species
UGCGGGGUGGAGCAGUCUGGUAGCUCGUCGGGCUCAUAACCCGAAGGUCGUUGGUUCAAAUCCAACCCCCGCUACCA